rnacentral:rRNA from 1 species
AGAGUUUGAUUCUGGCUCAGAACGAACGCUGGCGGCGUGGAUAAGACAUGCAAGUCGAACGCUGGCUGUGGAGUAGCAAUAUUUCGCAGUCGGGGUGGCGUAAGGGUGCGUAACACGUGGGUAAUUUACCGUGAAGUUCUGGAUAACUCCGAGAAAUCGGAGCUAAUACAAAAUGCGAUCACCGAGGGACAUCCUAAGGUGGUUAAAGUUGGGGACCGAAAGGCCUGAUGCUACACGAUAAGCCCGCGGCCUAUCAGCUAGUUGGUGGGGUAAUGGCUCAUCAAGGCAAAGACGGGUAGCUGGUCUGAGAGGACGACCAGCCACACUGGAACUGAGACACGGUCCAGACACCUACGGGUGGCAGCAGUCGAGAAUUUUUCACAAUGGGCGCAAGCCUGAUGGAGCGACGCCGCGUGGGGGAUGAAUGGCUUCGGCCCGUAAACCCCUGUCAUUCGCGAGCAAAUUCGUUCCGAUAAUACCGGAACGGCUGAUCGUAGCGAAAGAGGAAGGGACGGCUAACUCUGUGCCAGCAGCCGCGGUAAUACAGAGGUCCCAAGCGUUGUUCGGAUUCACUGGGCGUAAAGGGUGCGUAGGUGGCGAGGUAAGUUCGGUGUAAAAUCUCAUCGAAUACUCUCUUGCUAGAGGUUUGGAGGGGGGACUGGAAUUCUCGGUGUAGCAGUGAAAUGCGUAGAUAUCGAGAGGAACACCGGUGGCGAAGGCGAGUCCCUGGACAACACCUGACACUGAGGCACGAAAGCUAGGGGAGCAAACAGGAUUAGAUACCCUGGUAGUCCUAGCCCUAAACGGUGCACAUUUGCUGUGGGCGGAUUCGACCCCGCCCGUGGCGGAGCUAACGCGAUAAAUGUGCCGCCUGGGAAGUACGGUCGCAAGAUUAAAACUCAAAGAAAUUGACGGGGGCCUGCACAAGCGGUGGAGUAUGUGGCUCAAUUCGAUCAACGCGAAGAACCUUACCUGGCCUUGACAUGUGGGUGGUAGAAGGAUGAAAGUCCGACGAACCCGUAAGGGAAGCCUACACAGGUGCUGCAUGGCUGUCGUCAGCUCGUGUCGUGAGAUGUUGGGUUAAGUCCCGCAACGAGCGCAACCCUUGUGUCCUGUUGCCACCGGGAUUAAUGUCCCGAGCACUCCGGACAGACUGCCUCGCUUCAACGGGGAGGAAGGUGGGGAUGACGUCAAGUCAGUAUGGCCCUUACGGCCAGGGCUGCACACGUACUACAAUGCCCGGUACAGAGGGAUGCAAAAUCGCAAGGUGGAGCAAAUCCCCAAAGCCGGGCCCAGUUCAGAUUGUCGUCUGCAACUCGACGGCAUGAAGCCGGAAUCGCUAGUAAUGGCGCAUCAGCUACGGCGCCGUGAAUACGUUCCCAGGCCUUGUACACACCGCCCGUCACAUCAUGAAAGCCGUUUGUACCCGAAGUCAUUUCGCUAACCGCAAGGGUGCCGAUGCCGAAGGUAUGGACGGUGAUUGGGAUGAAGUCGAAACAAGGUA